GAGUGCUAAUAUUAGUGGGAUGGGCUUCCGAGUUGAAUCCGAGCUUACGGGGAUGUCGAUGCCGAUGAUCCCAUAUCGAUGUCACCCACUUCCUCCUCCUCCUCCUCCGCCUCCUCGCCCACUUUCCUACUACUUAAUGGGCUGGCUUUGGCGGUGGCUGGCCUCCAUCAUCGGCGACUGCCGCCUCCUGGCGUCUCCUCUCGUCAAUGGAAUCUAUAGAUUGCAAACCAAGGAACCAAUAACUAUUUGUGCAUACAAAUAAUGGGAGCAUGGAUGAACAAA
rnacentral:lncRNA from 1 species